rnacentral:lncRNA from 10 species
CUGGAGUGCAAUGGCACAAUCUCGGCUCACUGCAACCUCCGCCUCCUGGGUGCAAGUGGGUCUCCUGCCUCAGCCUCCCGAGUAGCUGGGAUUACAGGCACCCACCACCACGCCCGGCUAAUUUUUGUAUUUUUAGUGGAGACAGAGUUUCACCGUGUUAGCCAGGAUGGUCUCGAUCUCCUGACCUCAUGAUCCUCCCGCCUCGGCCUCCUAAAGUGCUGGGAUUACAGGCGUGAGCCACCGCGCCCAGCCUCAGAUCACUUUUUAAUAUGAAUUAGAUACUGUAUCUGAUGACUUCCUCUGUUAUUUAUAUGUAUUUUCUAGCCAUAAUGUUCUACUCUUACAACUAUACAUGAGUCUUUUUAUAGGUUUAGAAUAAAAUGACAAUAAUACUGCAUUUAAAAGUGAGGCCCUUUUGUAAUUAUUUUAAAUGUACAUUUCUAGAAUAAUAUAGGUUGAGUAUCCCUUAUCCGAAAUACUUGGGACCAGAAGUGUUUUGGAUUUUGGAUUUUAACAGAUUUUUUAAUAUUUGCAGAAUACCUACAAGUUGAACAUCUCUAAUCUGAAAAUCCAAAACACUCCAGUAAGUAUUUCCUUUGAGCAUCAUGUC